UACGUAGGUCCCGAGCGUUGUCCGGAUUUAUUGGGCGUAAAGCGAGCGCAGGUGGUUUAUUAAGUCUGGUGUAAAAGGCAGUGGCUCAACCAUUGUAUGCAUUGGAAACUGGUAGACUUGAGUGCAGGAGAGGAGAGUGGAAUUCCAUGUGUGGCGGUGAAAUGCGUAGAUAUAUGGAGGAACACCGGUGGCGAAAGCGGCUCUCUGGCCCGUAACUGACACUGAGGCUCGAAAGCGUGGGGAGCAAACAGG
rnacentral:rRNA from 1 species